CCCUUAGAUGUCCGGGGCCGCACGCGCGCUACACUGAAGACGAAAGCGCGAGUGCCUACGGUCUUGGUUUGGUCAGGCCGGGAACCCGCCCCCGAGGGGAGGUUGGGGCUGUUCCUUCACGGGGGCAGUCUCGCCUGCUGCGGGUUAACCGUGCCAAUCGUCUUCGUGCUGGGGAUCGGGGCUUGCAACUCAGCCCCGUGAACGAGGAAUUCCGAGUAGGCGUCCGUCAUCAGCUGGCGCCGAUUAAGUCCCUGCCUUUUGUACACACCGCCCGUCGCUACCUCCGAUAGAAUGGCUAAGCGAGGCCGUUGGACUGGGGCACCUUUCGAGGAGUCACGGAAAGGCGUUCGAGCUUAAUCAUUUAGAGGAAGUAAAAGUCGUAACA
rnacentral:rRNA from 1 species